UAAAUUGGUCUAAAUUGAUAGGGAAGGA
rnacentral:sRNA from 1 species